GACGAACGCUGGCGGCGUGCUUAACACAUGCAAGUCGAACGGUAAGGCCCUUCGGGGUACACGAGUGGCGAACGGGUGAGGAACACUUGGGUGAUCUGCCCUGCACUUUGGGAUAAGACUGGGAAACUGGGUGUAAUACCGGAUAGGACCAUGCGCGUCACGGUAUGUGGGGGAAAGCUAUUGCGGUGGGGGAUGGGCCCGCGGCCAAUCAGCUUGUUGGUGGGGUAGUGGCCUACCAAGGCGACGACGGGUAGCCGGCCUGAGAGGGGGACCGGCCACACUGGGACUGAGAUACGGCCCAGACUCCUACGGGAGGCAGCAGUGGGGAAUAUUGCACAAUGGGCGCAAGCCUGAUGCAGCGACGCCGCGUGAGGGAUGACGGCCUUCGGGUUGUAAACCUCUUUCAGUAGGGACGAAGCGCAAGUGACGGUACCUACAGAAGAAGGACCGGCCAACUACGUGCCAGCCGCCGCAGUAA
rnacentral:rRNA from 1 species